UGCAAGUCGAGCGGACAGAUGGGAGCUUGCUCCCUGAUGUUAGCGGCGGACGGGUGAGUAACACGUGGGUAACCUGCCUGUAAGACUGGGAUAACUCCGGGAAACCGGGGCUAAUACCGGAUGGUUGUUUGAACCGCAUGGUUCAAACAUAAAAGGUGGCUUCGGCUACCACUUACAGAUGGACCCGCGGCGCAUUAGCUAGUUGGUGAGGUAACGGCUCACCAAGGCAACGAUGCGUAGCCGACCUGAGAGGGUGAUCGGCCACACUGGGACUGAGACACGGCCCAGACUCCUACGGGAGGCAGCAGUAGGGAAUCUUCCGCAAUGGACGAAAGUCUGACGGAGCAACGCCGCGUGAGUGAUGAAGGUUUUCGGAUCGUAAAGCUCUGUUGUUAGGGAAGAACAAGUACCGUUCGAAUAGGGCGGUACCUUGACGGUACCUAACCAGAAAGCCACGGCUAACUACGUGCCAGCAGCCGCGGUAAUACGUAGGUGGCAAGCGUUGUCCGGAAUUAUUGGGCGUAAAGGGCUCGCAGGCGGUUUCUUAAGUCUGAUGUGAAAGCCCCCGGCUCAACCGGGGAGGGUCAUUGGAAACUGGGGAACUUGAGUGCAGAAGAGGAGAGUGGAAUUCCACGUGUAGCGGUGAAAUGCGUAGAGAUGUGGAGGAACACCAGUGGCGAAGGCGACUCUCUGGUCUGUAACUGACGCUGAGGAGCGAAAGCGUGGGGAGCGAACAGGAUUAGAUACGCUGGUAGUCCACGCCGUAAACGAUGAGUGCUAAGUGUUAGGAG
rnacentral:rRNA from 1 species